GGUAUUUUGUUAUGGUUUUUAAGCUUGAAAAAGGUGUUGUUGAUUGUUGGAGGUUCAACGUGAGGCUAGGUUUUCAAAAAAGGUUUCAAGAACUUGAACAUUGUUGGUUUUGUUGUGUGGACCAAAACUUGAAGGUGGUUUGAGCUCGUGUUGUUGGUAUUUUGUUAUGGUUUUUAAGCUUGAAAAAGGUGUUGUUGAUUGUUGGAGGUUCAACGUGAGGCUAGGUUUUCGAACUUCUAUUGAAAGUUCUUGUUGUUCUAGACUCUCUUCAUGUCUAGUUGCAAAAAAGCUCUUCAAUAGUGUUGUUUGAUCCAAAAGCCAAGUGGAAAGAAGUGAGGCCUUUGUUAGUCUUUAAAACAAAUCCCAAAUACCUACCAAAAGCGAAGGAGGACAAAAAGAUCUACAAAAACUUUAUACUAAACGAGGGAAAAAAAUACCCUUUUAGGUGUCCAACAGAGGAAAGGGUCACCAACCCUUCAAAAAGGUGUCUUGCCCAAAAGGUGUAAGACAAGUCAAACCUUUUUGAAUGAGAAAAAGGGCUCCAAUCUUGAUAUUUUUCUUCCCCAAGGACGAAAUACACUUCUUCAAGAAUUGAAAAUUGAACCAAAAUUUCAAAGUUGAAAAAAUAAGAACCUUUAAAAAAUCGCACCAAUCCUAGACCGCCACAUCACUAAUUUUUGUACAAUACCGAAACUUAGGG
rnacentral:lncRNA from 1 species